rnacentral:rRNA from 1 species
AGUUGAUCCUGGCUUAGGAUGAACGCUGGCGGCGUGCCUAAUACAUGCAAGUCGAACGAGGGUGCUUGCACCCUAGUGGCGAACGGGUGAGUAACACGUAGGUAACCUGCCCUUAAGCUUGGGAUACCCAGAGGAAACUUUGGCUAAUACCGGAUAACAACAGAAGAGGCAUCUCUUCAGUUUGAAAGGCCCUUUACGGGGUCACUUAAGGAUGGACCUGCGGCGCAUUAGCUAGUUGGUGAGAUAACAGCCCACCAAGGCGAGGAUGCGUAGCCGACCUGAGAGGGUGAUCGGCCACAUUGGAACUGAGACACGGUCCAAACUCCUACGGGAGGCAGCAGUAAGGAGUUUUCGGCAAUGGGGGAAACCCUGACCGAGCAACGCCGCGUGAGUGAUGACGGCCCUAUGGGUUGUAAAGCUCUGUUGUAAGGGACGAAUGAUUCGCUUAGGAAAUGAAGCGGAUUUGACGGUACCUUACCAGAAAGCCACGGCUAACUACGUGCCAGCAGCCGC